ACCAUGAGGCCGAUGAUUGCACCUUUGUUUGAACCCACGUCUUCCGCAAAGAACACCUUGAAAAGAAAUCAAGAAAAAGAGCACGUGCACACGAGCGCGAGAACGAGAAGCACCCUCGGCAGAGGCUGGCCAUGCCACAGUGUCCUUUCUCCAGUCCCCCAGCCUGCUUGAUAUUGGACACUCAUGAAAUUAUGUCUGCUUCAGUAACUGAACUGAUUGAAGUGUGAGUUUGAUCUACUUAAAAAAGGACCCAUCACAUACCAAGCAAGAAAGGAAAGAGAUAUUCAUGGAAGGAACUGAGACAUUGUCACGUAGGCUGUAUCCACCUAGACUUCCAUUUUUGAGGAAAGACUCUAAAUAAUCUUCUCCACUUAAAAAAGAAAAAGAAAAUAAAGAAGAAAAGAGAAAAAGAA